CAGCAGCCGCGGGAAUACGAAGGGGGCUAGCGUUGUUCGGAUUUACUGGGCGUAAAGGGCGCGUAGGCGGACUGAUAAGUCAGGGGUGAAAUCCCAAGGCUCAACCUUGGAACUGCCUUUGAUACUGUUUGUCUUGAGUUCGAGAGAGGUAAGUGGAACUGCGAGUGUAGAGGUGAAAUUCGUAGAUAUUCGCAAGAACACCAGUGGCGAAGGCGGCUUACUGGCUCGAAACUGACGCUGAGGCGCGAAAGCGUGGGGAGCAAACAGGAUUAGAUACCCCCGUAGUCCCUGUCUCUUAUAA
rnacentral:rRNA from 1 species